GAUGUCGGUCUGCAGACACCUCUCCCACUGGCCUUUGCAGACGGUACGAUGGCUCGACUGCCCGCUGCUCUUGGGGCAAUCGCUGCCGGUCUCCGGCUUCCUCACCUUCUUCUUCAGGUGCGUAUUCCAGUAAUUCUUGAUGUCGUUGUCUGUUCUUUCCGGGAGGUAAGAAGCUAUGGCGGCCCAUCUGCGUUCAGAUAGCAGCACAGACAUCAGCACUGCUCCUUCAAGCAAAGGCUUCAAAGAGCUCGGAAGAGAUGUUGUGGCCUUUACCUGUUGCCC
rnacentral:lncRNA from 1 species